rnacentral:lncRNA from 1 species
UCUCUUUUGAAACAGCCAGACAAGACACACCAGCACCAACCCGAGGGCUUGUGGACAAUAACGCUGUGCUCUGGCUAACGAGUCACAGCAGAUCACGAGGGCGGUAUCAGAAGACAUACAGGCAAACAAACACAGAGCUGCUGCAUCCUCAAGUUAUGCUUCAAGCAUGGUUGCUCCACAGCUUUGUGAAUCAGCAGUCUUGUGUUCUUGGCCAGUUUCUACCAUUUACAUAUCCUGACUCCAAACCUACAGCUGCAUGACUUGUUUGCAUGACUAAUUUCACUGAACUCCAAGGGCAGGACUUCAGGGGCCUCCAAUUGCAGCUCCCAGUACGUGAGGGAGGUCACACCUAAUCAAGAGCCCCUGCUCCCCCCUCAGCCAAAGCAGUGAAGCUCCAUCAAAUGUGGAUCUCCAACAUCCCAGUCACAGAACUAUUUGCAAUGCUAGAUCUCUUUCCAUUCCUCUAACAGAGGUCUUAAAAUCAGGAGGAGGGAUGGAAGACAUGAUGACCUGGAUUAUGCCAUAACCUAGUGGCUACAGCAGCAUUCUGAGCCAUGAGUGGGUUGCAUCCCAAAAGGCCAAGAUGAAAGUGAACUGAGAUUUCCCACUCCCUAGCUGACUACAUUUAUUAAGAUACUGUGGGAAGGAAGCUCUGCUGCUUCCCUAACCCUUUUCACAGAAGCCUGUGGUUUUUCUGUGAAUGACACUGGCUCGGUGCUAAAAGGCUCUGAGGGAGCACGGCAGAGUGGGCCUCUCCAGGGAUUACAGUGGAAUUUUUUAUUACUGUGGAAUAGCCUUUGCUGUACUCCUGAAUCAGGCUGAGGGCCAGGUCACUGACACCUGUGCAGGCAUGGGCAGCCCCAUUUAGACACCUUGGGAACUGCCAGGACAGUUGGUGGUAGGAAUUUUUACAUACCCCUAGGCUCAAACAGCUACCACAGCAGAAAAUAGCUUCCCUGAUAGGUAUCUAGAAGAUAGGUAGUUUUCUUGAACUUGGCCAGAUGAAUCCUCUGAGUUCCACUUCUGGUGCCCAAUGUAAGCAUUGUAGAACCUAUCCAUCAUGACAGUGCAUUUAUUUAAUGACUUGGAUGUUUGAGGGCAAGUCUCAUAAUCCUAUGUAUUUUAACUCACCAUCCCAAACAUCUAAUUACUUACCUCAUGAUGAUAUUUUAAAGAUUAAUUUACAUUUGAGGAAAUGGCUCUAGGGUCCCUAGGGAAAUGGUCACAGCACCAAACCUACUGGAGUUCAAGAAGUGUUUG